rnacentral:tRNA from 1 species
UCAGACUCGAUGAUAAUCGAAAUAAUCCAGGAUCUUUUAUGACAGUGAGUAACUUU